rnacentral:rRNA from 1 species
GGCGGACGGUUGCACGAGUCAUUGGGUGUAAACCUAAAGGCGCAAUGAAAGUGUCAGGGGGUCCUCCUAAGGGAGGAUCUCCCCGCUGGGAAGAUGGGCCACCGUACAAUUACUUGUCGGAGCCCCGCACUCCCGGGGCGUCUCGUUCUCAUUGCGAGUAGAGACGCACCAGGAGCGCACACGCUGGUACCCGAAAGAUGGUGAACUAUGCCUGGCCAGGACGAAGCCAGGGGAAACCCUGGUGGAGGUCCGAAGCGAUUCUGACGUGCAAAUCGAUCGUCUGAGCUGGGUAUAGGGGCGAAAGACCAAUCGAACCAUCUAGUAGCUGGUUCCUUCCGAAA